rnacentral:rRNA from 1 species
CCUACGGGUGGCAGCAGUGAGGAAUAUUGGUCAAUGGCCGGAAGGCUGAACCAGCCAAGUCGCGUGAGGGAAGAAGGCCCUAUGGGUCGUAAACCUCUUUUGUCAGGGAGCAAAGGCGUCCACGUGUGGACGAGAGGAGAGGACCUGAAGAAAAAGCACAGGCAAACUCCGGGCCAGCAGCGGCGGUAAUACGGGGGAUGCGAGCGUUAGCAGGAUUGAUUGGGUUGAAGGGGUGCGUAGGCGGAGUGUCAAGUCAGCGGUAAAAUUUCGGGGCUCACCCCCGGCGUGCCGUUGUAACUGGCGCCCUUGAGUGGGUGAGAAGUAAGCGGAAUGCGUGGUGUAGCGGU